AGUUAAAUCAGCCGAAUUUUCCUUUGCCUUAGGCAAACCCCAAAUCGUCCCUUAACUGUUGAUUUUUCUUUGCAGCCUUUGCAGUCUUUGAAGAACCAUUUCAGCCUUGACCUUCCUUCAACUUCGAUUCCAAUGAAGCAAAGAGAAGAUCCUUGGCCUACUUGCACGAUAUUGCUCCCUUCCUUUGUUUUUCUUUUUUUUUUUUAAAAAACGCAAUAAUGAUGUAUUCUAAAAAACAAAUUGAAAAAGAAAUAAAGGAAAAAAAACUUAGAGAAACUCGAAUCGGAAACCACCUUGAACUUUGAUUGAUUUCCUUUGUUUGAUUAAUAUGCGUAGUGUGCGUGCGUAUGCAUACAGUAUGGGUAAAAAAUUAAGGAAUGGCCGUACGGAGGAGCGGGGAAAGGUGUGCGUGAAAGAGGCCGUGCGAGGAAACCGUUCGUGGGAGCCCGACCCCUUGGCACUGUUCUGGCACGUUCCAGAAGAUUCUAGUGCUCUCAAGCUGCUGAGAUAAUUUUUGGGUGUAUUGGGCCUCGGGUUUUAGGGCUUAUUUAAUUGGGUAAUGGGUUACUUUAGUAAUUGGGUUGGGUUAUUGGACUUUUAUUGAAUUGUUUUUUAAUUUUUCAUUUUAGUUUUGGAUUUUGUAAAUGGACUUUGGCCCUAUAAACAAUUUGAUCUUUCAUUUA